rnacentral:rRNA from 1 species
CUGCACGUAAGAUUUAACGGGGCUAAGCUAUGCACCGAAGUUGCGGAAUAUAUUUAGUAUAUUGGUAGGGGAGCGUUCUGUAAGCCGAUGAAGGUGAAUUGAGAAGUUUGCUGGAGGUAUCAGAAGUGCGAAUGCUGACAUGAGUAACGUAAAAUAAGUGAGAUUCUUAUUGGCCGAAAACCCAAGGUUUCCUACGCAACGUUAAUCGACGUAGGGUUAGUCGGUUCCUAAGGCGAGGCUGAAAAGCGUAGUCGAUGGAAAACAGGUUAAUAUUCCUGUACUGAUAAUAACUGCGAUGUGGUGACGGAGAAGGCUAUACCAGAACACAGACGGUGUUGUAUGCAAUCAGUUAGGCAGAGCACUUAGGCAAAUCCGGGUGCUUAAUGCUGAGCUGAGAUGCCGACGGUUAUUGCAACUGGAGUGGUAGAUGCCAUGCUUCCAAGAAAAGCUGCUAAGCUUAGGUUAUUAUCAACCGUACCCCAAACCGACACAGGUGGGAAGGAUGAGAAUUCUAAGGCGCUUGAGAGAACUCGGGUGAAGGAACUCGGCAAAAUGGUACCGUAACUUCGGGAGAAGGUACGCCUCUGCUGGUUAAUAGCUGGCGGAGGCCGCAGAGACCAGGUGGCUGCGACUGUUUAUCAAAAACAUAGCACUCUGCAAACACGUAAGUGGAAGUAUAGGGUGUGACCCCUGCCCGGUGCCGGAAGGUUAAUUGAUGGGGUUAGUUUUCGGACGAAGCUCUUGAUCGAAGCCCCGGUGAACGGCGGCCGUAACUAUAACGGUCCUAAGGUAGCGAAAUUCCUUGUCGGGUAAGUUCCGACCUGCACGAAUGGCGUAACGAUGGCCACACUGUCUCCACCCGAGACUCAGUGAAAUUGAAUUUGCUGUGAAGAUGCAGUGUACCCGCGGCUAGACGGAAAGACCCCGUGCACCUUUACUACAGCUUUGCACUGAACUUUGAACUUAUUUGUGUAGGAUAGGUGGGAGACUUUGAAACGCAGGCGCUAGCUUGCGUGGAGUCACCCUUGAAAUACCACCCUGGUAAGUUUGAGGUUCUAACCUUGGUCCGUUAUCCGGAUUAGGGACAGUGUAUGGUGGGUAGUUUGACUGGGGCGGUCUCCUCCCAAAGAGUAACGGAGGAGCACGAAGGUACUCUCGGCAUGGUCGGAAAUCAUGCUAUGAGUGUAAAGGCAUAAGAGUGCUUGACUGCGAGAUUGACGAAUCGAGCAGGUGGGAAACCAGGUCUUAGUGAUCCGGUGGCACUGCAUGGU